AUGCACGCCAUGGAUGAGGAGAUGAAGGCGACCGAGAGCAAUGGCAUGUGGACUUUGAUAACCCGACCUCUGAACCAAAAGGCCAUAGGUUUGAAGUGGGUUUACAAGUUGAAGGACACGAAGGGUGCCAUUGUGAAGCACAAGGCAAGACUCGUUGCAAAGGGCUACGUACAACAUCAAGGAGUUGACUAUGAGGAGGUGUUUGCACCGGUUGCUCGAAUCGAGACGGUGAGAGUGCUCCUAGCUUUGGCAGCACAAGAGGAUUGGAAGGUUCAUCAUAUGGAUGUGAAAUCCGCUUUCCUCAACGGCGACCUCAAAGAAGAAGUGUACGUGAAAGAACCCCUCAGCUACGAGAGUAAAGAAGAAGGGAAAGUUUACAAGCUCAAGAAGGCACUUCACAGGCUGAAGCAAGCGCCAAGAAUUUGGAACUCAAUGUUAGACCGAAGUUUGGUCUUGCACGGGUUCAAAAGAUGUACCUACGAGGAUCCGAAAGAGAGUCUACCAAGCACCAAAGAAUAG
rnacentral:rRNA from 1 species